CUUCAACGGAGAGUUUGAUCCUGGCUCAGGACGAACGCUGGCGGCGUGCUUAACACAUGCAAGUCGAGCGGUAAGGCCCUUCGGGGUACACGAGCGGCGAACGGGUGAGUAACACGUGGGUGAUCUGCCUCGCACUUCGGG
rnacentral:rRNA from 1 species